rnacentral:rRNA from 1 species
GGAUUUUAUUUGUGGUAUAAUUUUCAAACCAUGGGUAAAAUUGAAACUUACAAGGACUUAGAAAUCUAUCAAAAGUCUUACCAAAUAGCCUUGAGUAUUCACAAGGAAACUUUAAGUUUUCCAUUUCCUGAUAAAAUGGAACUGGGCAGUCAAAUGCGCAGGGCAUCAAAAUCCAUUCCAGCCAACAUUGCGGAAGGAUUUGCUAGGCGAAAGUUUAAGAAGGAAUACUUGAGAUACUUGGGAAUGGCAAAAGCAUCCGGUGAUGAGAUGCAAGUGCAUUUGCAAUUUUCCUUGGACUUAGGUUAUUUGACUAACGAUCAAUAUGAUAAAUAUUCAGAAGAGUAUAUUGUAAUCGGAAAGCAGAUAUCGACUUUAAUUAAAGUCUGGUUGAGUUUCUGAUUGACAAUAAAUCUAUGUAACCUAGCAAUCCAAUUACCAUUGAUAUUACCAGAGGAAUCAGAGGUUGCUAACUCUGUGCCAGCAGCAGCGGUAAUACAGAGACCUCAAGCGUUAUCCGGAUUUAUUGGGCGUAAAGCGUGAGCAGGCGGCUUAUAGAGUUAAGUAGAGGUAAAUGGAACUCAUGGUGUAGCAGUGAAAUGCGUUGAUAUCAUGGGGAACACCAAAGGCGAAGGCAAUUUACUGGACUUUAACUGACGCUCAGUCACGAAAGCGUGGGUAGCGAACGGGAUUAGAUACCCCGGUAGUCCACGCCCUAAACGAUGCACACUCGUUGUUGGGAGAUUCGACCCUUUCAGCAACUAAGCUAACGCGUUAAGUGUGCCGCCUGGGAAGUACGGUCGCAAGACUAAAACUCAAAGGAAUAGACGGGGAUCCGCACAAGCGGUGGAGCAUGUGGUUUAAUUCGACAAUAAGCGAGGAACCUCACCAGGGCUAGAUAUCCAACUGCAUAUUUUGAGAAAUCAAAAUAGCCUUCGAGGGUGUUGGACAGGUGUUGCAUGGUUGUCGUCAGCUCGUGCCGUAAGGUGUUCCAUUAAGUUGGGUAACGAGCGCAACCCCUACUGUGUGUUACAAGUGUCACACGGAACUGCCCGCCACACCUAUUCGAAGCGAAAGCUUUGUUGCAGAAGCGACAAAGCAAUUGCCUUGAAUAGAAUAUUCAAACAAUAAGUUUGGGAUAGGUGUGGCGGGAGGAAGGUGGGGAUGACGUCAAAUCAGCAUGGCCCUCGACGCCCUGGGCGACACACGUGCUACAAUGGCCGGUACAACGGGUUGCGAAACCGCAAGGUUGAGCUAAUCUCUAAAAACCGGUCCCAGUUCGGAUUGGAGUCUGCAACUCGACUCCAUGAAGUCGGAAUCGCUAGUAAUCCCGAAUCAGCCAUAUCGGGGUGAAUACGUUCCCGGAUCUUGUACUCACCGCCCGUCACACCAAGGGAGCUGGUAGUGCCUGAAGACCCAGCCCUAAGAAGUCGUAACAAGGCAUCCGUAGCGGAAGCUGUGGAUGGAUCACCUCCU